rnacentral:lncRNA from 1 species
CCUCCUCAAAAUUCUCGUCGUCGUCGUCGUUGUCGUUAAUUUUGCGUUGUUUAGGGUUCUUAAUGUAAACGUCGUCGUCGUCGAUUGAUAUAUUCCUCGAAACUCUCUUUCCGCUUUGUAGUUGGCCCUUACAACAUAUGGUCUUCGGUUUCUCCUACUCCUCCUUCUCUGCUUCCUUCUCCUCCAAUUUUCCAACUUUCAUGGCGUCGCCCAGUACAGAUCCACAACAAUUCAUCUCUCUCUCUCUCUCUCUCUCUCU